rnacentral:rRNA from 1 species
AACGAACGCUGGCGGCAGGCCUAAAACAUGCAAGUCGAACGGGUGUAGCAAUACAUCAGUGGCGCACGGGUGAGUAACGCGUGGGAACGUGCCCUUCAGUACGGGACAACGUCGGGAAACUGACGCUAAUACCGUAUAAUAUCUCCGGAUCAAAGAUUUAUCGCUGAGGGAGCGGCCCGCGUCUGAUUAGCUAGUUGGUGAGGUAAUGGCUCACCAAGGCUACGAUCAGUAGCAGGUCUGAGAGGAUGAUCUGCCACACUGGGACUGAGACACGGCCCAGACUCCUACGGGAGGCAGCAGUUAGGAAUAUUGGACAAUGGGGAAACCCUGAUCCAGCCAUGCCGCGUGUGUGAUGAAGGCCCUAGGGUUGUAAAGCACUUUCGUUGGGGAUGAUAAUGACCGUACCCAAAGAAGAAGCCACGGCUAAAUUCGUGCCAGCAGCCGCCGUAA